rnacentral:rRNA from 2 species
UACAGAGGUCUCGAGCGUUAGGCGGAAUCACUGGGCUUAAAGCGUGUGUAGGCGGAUUGCUAAGUACCUUGUGAAAUCCCACGGCUUAACCGUGGAACUGCUUGGUAUACUGGCUGUCUUGAGCCACUUAGGGGCGACCGGAACAAACGGUGGAGCGGUGAAAUGCGUAGAUAUCGUUUGGAACGCCAAAGGUGAAAACAGGUCGCUGGGAGUGUGCUGACGCUGAGACACGAAAGCCAGGGGAGCAAACGGG